rnacentral:rRNA from 1 species
GAUGAACGCUGGCGGCGUGCCUAAUACAUGCAAGUCGAGCGAACAGACGAGGAGCUUGCUCCUCUGACGUUAGCGGCGGACGGGUGAGUAACACGUGGAUAACCUACCUAUAAGACUGGGAUAACUUCGGGAAACCGGAUCUAAUACCGGAUAAUAUAUUGAACCGCAUGGUUCAAUAGUGAAAGACGGUUUUGCUGUCACUUUUAGAUGGAUCCGCGCCGCAUUAGCUAGUUGGUAAGGUAACGGCUUACCAAGGCAACGAUGCGUAGCCGACCUGAGAGGAUGAUCGGCCACACUGGAACUGAGACACGGUCCAGACUCCUACGGGAGGCAGCAGUAGGGAAUCUUCCGCAAUGGGCGAAAGCCUGACGGAGCAACGCCGCGUGAGUGAUGAAGGUCUUCGGAUCGUAAAACUCUGUUAUUAGGGAAGAAAAAAUGUGUAAGUAAAUAUGCACGUCUUGACGGUACCUAAUCAGAAAGCCACGGCUAACUACGUG